UACGUAGGGGGCUAGCGUUGUCCGGAUUUAUUGGGCGUAAAGAGCGUGUAGGCGGCCUGGUAGGUCUGCUGUGAAAACUCGAGGCUCAACCUCGAGAUGUCGGCGGAAACCAUCUGGCUAGAGUCCGGAAGAGGAGAGUGGAAUUCCUGGUGUAGCGGUGAAAUGCGCAGAUAUCAGGAAGAACACCUAUGGCGAAGGCAGCUCUCUGGGACGUUACUGACACUGAGGCGCGAAAGCGUGGGGAGCGAACAGG
rnacentral:rRNA from 1 species